GGGUUGUGAGGUUAAGCGACUAAGCGUACACGGUGGAUGCCCUGGCAGUCAGAGGCGAUGAAGGACGUGCUAAUCUGCGAUAAGCGUCGGUAAGGUGAUAUGAACCGUUAUAACCGGCGAUUUCCGAAUGGGGAAACCCAGUGUGAUUCGUCACACUAUCAUUAACUGAAUCCAUAGGUUAAUGAGGCGAACCGGGGGAACUGAAACAUCUAAGUACCCCGAGGAAAAGAAAUCAACCGAGAUUCCCCCAGUAGCGGCGAGCGAACGGGGAGCAGCCCAGAGCCUGAAUCAGUGUGUGUGUUAGUGGAAGCGUCUGGAAAGGCGCGCGAUACAGGGUGACAGCCCCGUACACAAAAAUGCACAUAUUGUGAGCUCGAUGAGUAGGGCGGGACACGUGGUAUCCUGUCUGAAUAUGGGGGGACCAUCCUCCAAGGCUAAAUACUCCUGACUGACCGAUAGUGAACCAGUACCGUGAGGGAAAGGCGAAAAGAACCCCGGCGAGGGGAGUGAAAAAGAACCUGAAACCGUGUACGUACAAGCAGUGGGAGCACGCUUAGGCGUGUGACUGCGUACCUUUUGUAUAAUGGGUCAGCGACUUAUAUUCUGUAGCAAGGUUAACCGAAUAGGGGAGCCGAAGGGAAACCGAGUCUUAACUGGGCGUUAAGUUGCAGGGUAUAGACCCGAAACCCGGUGAUCUAGCCAUGGGCAGGUUGAAGGUUGGGUAACACUAACUGGAGGACCGAACCGACUAAUGUUGAAAAAUUAGCGGAUGACUUGUGGCUGGGGGUGAAAGGCCAAUCAAACCGGGAGAUAGCUGGUUCUCCCCGAAAGCUAUUUAGGUAGCGCCUCGUGAAUUCAUCUCCGGGGGUAGAGCACUGUUUCGGCAAGGGGGUCAUCCCGACUUACCAACCCGAUGCAAACUGCGAAUACCGGAGAAUGUUAUCACGGGAGACACACGGCGGGUGCUAACGUCCGUCGUGAAGAGGGAAACAACCCAGACCGCCAGCUAAGGUCCCAAAGUCAUGGUUAAGUGGGAAACGAUGUGGGAAGGCCCAGACAGCCAGGAUGUUGGCUUAGAAGCAGCCAUCAUUUAAAGAAAGCGUAAUAGCUCACUGGUCGAGUCGGCCUGCGCGGAAGAUGUAACGGGGCUAAACCAUGCACCGAAGCUGCGGCAGCGACGCUUAUGCGUUGUUGGGUAGGGGAGCGUUCUGUAAGCCUGCGAAGGUGUGCUGUGAGGCAUGCUGGAGGUAUCAGAAGUGCGAAUGCUGACAUAAGUAACGAUAAAGCGGGUGAAAAGCCCGCUCGCCGGAAGACCAAGGGUUCCUGUCCAACGUUAAUCGGGGCAGGGUGAGUCGACCCCUAAGGCGAGGCCGAAAGGCGUAGUCGAUGGGAAACAGGUUAAUAUUCCUGUACUUGGUGUUACUGCGAAGGGGGGACGGAGAAGGCUAUGUUGGCCGGGCGACGGUUGUCCCGGUUUAAGCGUGUAGGCUGGUUUUCCAGGCAAAUCCGGAAAAUCAAGGCUGAGGCGUGAUGACGAGGCACUACGGUGCUGAAGCAACAAAUGCCCUGCUUCCAGGAAAAGCCUCUAAGCAUCAGGUAACAUCAAAUCGUACCCCAAACCGACACAGGUGGUCAGGUAGAGAAUACCAAGGCGCUUGAGAGAACUCGGGUGAAGGAACUAGGCAAAAUGGUGCCGUAACUUCGGGAGAAGGCACGCUGAUAUGUAGGUGAAGUCCCUCGCGGAUGGAGCUGAAAUCAGUCGAAGAUACCAGCUGGCUGCAACUGUUUAUUAAAAACACAGCACUGUGCAAACACGAAAGUGGACGUAUACGGUGUGACGCCUGCCCGGUGCCGGAAGGUUAAUUGAUGGGGUUAGCGCAAGCGAAGCUCUUGAUCGAAGCCCCGGUAAACGGCGGCCGUAACUAUAACGGUCCUAAGGUAGCGAAAUUCCUUGUCGGGUAAGUUCCGACCUGCACGAAUGGCGUAAUGAUGGCCAGGCUGUCUCCACCCGAGACUCAGUGAAAUUGAACUCGCUGUGAAGAUGCAGUGUACCCGCGGCAAGACGGAAAGACCCCGUGAACCUUUACUAUAGCUUGACACUGAACAUUGAGCCUUGAUGUGUAGGAUAGGUGGGAGGCUUUGAAGUGUGGACGCCAGUCUGCAUGGAGCCGACCUUGAAAUACCACCCUUUAAUGUUUGAUGUUCUAACGUGGACCCGUAAUCCGGGUUGCGGACAGUGUCUGGUGGGUAGUUUGACUGGGGCGGUCUCCUCCUAAAGAGUAACGGAGGAGCACGAAGGUUGGCUAAUCCUGGUCGGACAUCAGGAGGUUAGUGCAAUGGCAUAAGCCAGCUUGACUGCGAGCGUGACGGCGCGAGCAGGUGCGAAAGCAGGUCAUAGUGAUCCGGUGGUUCUGAAUGGAAGGGCCAUCGCUCAACGGAUAAAAGGUACUCCGGGGAUAACAGGCUGAUACCGCCCAAGAGUUCAUAUCGACGGCGGUGUUUGGCACCUCGAUGUCGGCUCAUCACAUCCUGGGGCUGAAGUAGGUCCCAAGGGUAUGGCUGUUCGCCAUUUAAAGUGGUACGCGAGCUGGGUUUAGAACGUCGUGAGACAGUUCGGUCCCUAUCUGCCGUGGGCGCUGGAGAACUGAGGGGGGCUGCUCCUAGUACGAGAGGACCGGAGUGGACGCAUCACUGGUGUUCGGGUUGUCAUGCCAAUGGCACUGCCCGGUAGCUAAAUGCGGAAGAGAUAAGUGCUGAAAGCAUCUAAGCACGAAACUUGCCCCGAGAUGAGUUCUCCCUGAC
rnacentral:rRNA from 1 species